UAUGGUCACAUCAUGUUGAAACACUCCUUCCCGUGCGAUCACCAAAGCUAAGCAACGUCGAGACUGGUCAUUACCUAGAUGGGUGACCGUUUGAGAAUACCACGU